AGCCCUUUUCAGCUCAUUAGCAUUUGUGCUUGCCCUGGGGGAAGAAUCCACCAUUCCAGCUCAGGCUAUUCUGCUGCCAGCUCCUCCCCUCUGUGAGCCAUGAUCCUGACUUCAGACCUUGCCUGAACAUUCUUCAUACCACUUGCCUUCUUUUUCCUGAAAUCAAGGCAAUAUGUCAGUAUUGAGUGAAUCCAGACAUCAUAGCUCUGUAAGGCAUGUUGAUAUUGAUUGCUUCUUUGUCUCAGGAGGUAUAAGAACUGGCAGAUCUCAAAGGGGAAAUUUCUGGUAUCCUGUGUCUUCAGACUUUGUUCUUCUGUUCAAGUAACUCUCCUCCCUUCAUGUAACCUAGCAACGAUUUACAUGACAAAGCCUUGCCUGCCUACCUGCCCUCAGAUCAGCCUGGAAAUCAACCCCUGAGGAGCCUUUGUCAGAUUUAAACACACAAAUACCACUCCUGGUGUCCUCUCUUUUGGAAUGUCAGCCUUGAUUCCCAUGGGCAGGCUUCAUGCUCACUGUGAUUUAUGCCUAGCCCUGACCUGGGAGAACUUUCACAGAUGGGAUGCUGUGUUUCUCUCAUGAGUUUAGAACACCCAGGGCUUGA